rnacentral:rRNA from 1 species
CGGCAACAGCUCAAAUUUGAAAUCUGGCCUUUUUCGAGGUUCGAGUUGUAAUUUGUAGAGGAUGUUUCGGGUUGCGGCCUGGUUUAAAUUUCUUGGAACAGAAUGUCAAAGAGGGUGAGAGUCCCGUCUUGAACCAGUGUCAAUAUCCAUGUGAAACUCCUUCGAC